CCUGGUCAGAUUGAACGCUGGCGGCGUGCUUAACACAUGCAAGUCGAACGAGAAAGGGACUUCGGUCCUGAGUAGAGUGGCGCACAGGUGAGUAACGCGUAGGUAAUCUACCUCUGCAUCUGGGAUAACACUUCGAAAGGGGCGCUAAUACCGGAUACACUUAUGGACCGCAAGGUCUAUAAGGAAAGGAGACCUCUCCUUGGAAGUUUCUGUGUAGAGAUGAGCCUGCGUCCCAUUAGCUAGUUGGCAGGGUAAUGGCCUACCAAGGCGACGAUGGGUAGCGGGUCUGAGAGGAUGAUCCGCCACACUGGAACUGAAACACGGACCAGACUCCUACGGGAGGCAGCAGUGAGGAAUAUUGGACAAUGGGCGCAAGCCUGAUCCAGCGACGCCGCGUGAGUGAUGAAGGCCUUUGGGUCGUAAAGCUCUGUCAGCAGGGAAGAACGGCCGUGUGGUUAAUACCCAUGCGGAUUGACGGUACCUGCAGAGGAAGCACCGGCUAACUCCGCGCCAGCAGCCGCGGUAAUACGGAGGUGCGAGCGUAAUCGGAUACUGGGCGUAAGGGCGCGUA
rnacentral:rRNA from 1 species